rnacentral:lncRNA from 1 species
GGACAGCAUGAAGCUGCAGAAGCUGAUCAUGGACUUCCUUUUCCAGUACUGCUUUCUCUGCCUGGGUUUCUGUCAGUUCAGAUUUCAGAUCAACUAACUGUGCCUCCAGUUUGUGGUUGAUCUGGGACACGGUCUGCGCCUUGUGGCAGAGCUGCGCGAAGCAGGAGCUCAGGCUGGUCAUCUUCUGCCGCCCCUCGUAGGUGAUGUCGGCCUGGUCGGGGUCGAUCUCGCCCAGCAGCAGGUCCACGUCCACGAAGGCCUUGUCGAACUCCUUCUCCAGCACCUCCAGCCAGCGGAACAUGGACACCCCGCCGCCCGGCGCCGAGGCCGCGCCGCCCACCCCUCCGCCGCAGGCCGCGCCACCCGGCCCGCAGGAGCCAACGCCGCCCGCCGCCGACAUCCCGCCGGCCACCGCCCGGCCCGGCCUCGCCUCGCACAGGGCCCGGCUUGCGCCCCCACCCGCCUCGGCCGUCCCCCUGCGCCCUCGCGGCGGUCCCGGCUCUCCCGGCGCGGCCACGCAGCCAGGCG